rnacentral:rRNA from 1 species
CCUACGGGAGGCAGCAGUGGGGAAUAUUGCACAAUGGGGGAAACCCUGAUGCAGCGACGCCGCGUGAGUGAAGAAGUAAUUCGGUAUGUAAAGCUCUAUCAGCAGGGAAGAAAAUGACGGUACCUGAGUAAGAAGCCCCGGCUAACUACGUGCCAGCAGCCGCGGUAAUACGUAGGGGGCAAGCGUUAUCCGGAUUUACUGGGUGUAAAGGGAGCGUAGACGGCAGUGCAAGUCUGGAGUGAAAGCCCGGGGCGUAACCCUGGGACUGCUUUGGAAACUGUACGGCUAGAGUGCAGGAGAGGUAAGUGGAAUUCCUAGUGUAGCGGUGAAAUGCGUAGAUAUUAGGAGGAACACCAGUGGCGAAGGCGGCUUACUGGACUGUAACUGACGUUGAGGCUCGAAAGCGUGGGGAGCAAACAGGAUUAGAUACCCGAGUAGUC